rnacentral:rRNA from 1 species
UGCCUCAGUAACGGCGAGUGAAGCGGCAACAGCUCAAAUUUGAAAUCUGGCCGCAAGGUCCGAGUUGUAAUUUGCAGAGGAUGCUUUUGGCGAGGUGCCUUCCGAGUUCCCUGGAACGGGACGCCAUAGAGGGUGAGAGCCCCGUACGGUAGGACCACCGAGCCUUUGUAAAGCUCCUUCGACGAGUCGAGUAGUUUGGGAAUGCUGCUCUAAAUGGGAGGUGUACGUCUUCUAAAGCUAAAUACCGGCCAGAGACCGAUAGCGCACAAGUAGAGUGAUCGAAAGAUGAAAAGCACUUUGAAAAGAGGGUUAAAAAGUACGUGAAAUUGUUGAAAGGGAAGCAUUCAUGACCAGACUUGGGCUUGGUUGAACAUCCGGCGUUCUCGCCGGUGCACUCUGCCAGUCCAGGCCAGCAUCAGUUUGCCCCGGGGGACAAAGGCGGUGGGAAUGUGGCUCUCUCCGGGGAGUGUUAUAGCCCGCCGUGUAAUGCCCUGGGGCGGACUGAGGAACGCGCUUCGGCUCGGAUGCUGGCGUAAUGGUCAUCAAUGACCCGUCUUGAAACACGGACCAAGGAGUCGUCUUCGUAUGCGAGUGUUCGGGUGUCAAACCCCUACGCGAAAUGAAAGUGAACGU